AGCUCUGGGUGGCUUCUUAGACUCUCACAGUGACCGAGCCUUAGUUCUUUGCUCAGAACAGAAGUUCCCCUCAGGAAAGACCAGAGGACAGGCUGUUCUCAGUUCUCCUUUUCUGGGUCACUCGCCUCUUCACCCACAGGCUGAGAGAAUUUGGAUUUGCUGCUCCAACUGGAAUCAGUGGAUUAGUCAGUAGAUUAUAGCUGAAUGGGACAAGGGAGGUGGGCCCCCGGGGGUGGUGUGUGUGUGGCCUGGAAAGGUCUGCCUCCUUUCUUCUCUCUCUGCUUCCUGCCUGCCAUGCCACGAGCAAUUCUCUGCCAUGGCAUCCUGCCUCAGAGCCACUGGACCAUGGGCUGAAACCUCUCCAGGUGUGAGGCAGAUUAAACCUCUCCUCCUUCAGGUGUGGGUGUUGGGUAUUGUGUCUCAGUGCCGAGGAACGUGACUUGGGCAUACAUCUUUCCCUCCUCUCCUGCAAAUGGACCAUUUCAGGCAAAAGGACUUGGAACAGGACCCUCUAGAUGCCCGGGAAACCAGCUGUCGGCCUGCCCUCAUCUCUGCUCCGAGGCUGGCAGAUGCCCAGGGGAUCCAUUUUACAGCCACUCUGUUUUUCUCCCAGUGCUGGAGUUCUGCGUGCUUCAUCUUGAGCAAAGUACUUCUCACGGGCCUUGGCAAAUAACUGACUGUAAUUCAUGAGGCUGGGAGGUAAUGCGGGAGUAGUUUCCCCCUCCUCUACCCCUCUGCUAGGACCCUGCUGUGGGUCAUGUGCUCCUUUAGACACAGCAUCUGAAGCUUGUCAAGGGCAACUCAUUUCUGCUGGGGAGCAGACCGGCUUCUUCAGCGCCAGGGUCUCCUCCUGUCUCAGGAGUUCACAGAGCUGUGGGUGGACAUCUCCACCACCAAGGAGCAGGUCACCUCUCCCUCAUGGGCAAACAGUCGUGUUUGUGUGUGGGGUUCCCCAUUUGUCUCUGGUGGGUGGAGCCUUCUGCUUCAGACUGAUCUCUUUCCCCAGUUAGAAGUGAGAAGCUCUGAAGAAGACAAACUAUCCCCCAACCCGACCUUCGUACACAAUGUUGGUGCCACUUGGCCCCCAUUCAGUUGCUUGGUGUGAGCCAUUUUACCACCUCGCUUUGAACCACACUGUCCUGCCCCACCACACCCAGCCCUUGCUUAGCACACCAACCCUGGUCAAAGCUUCACGUCCUUCACAGAUCCUCUUGCUCCACCCCUGUCGCCAUUUUGUACAGUUCCCCAGCUCCUGCCUGAGUGACUUCCUGGAGACCUGGCCGGUUGCUUCGAAAUCUCUUGUUCUCACAAUGCUUUUGAUUGAUUUCAGGUUGCUGUCCCCGGAGCUCUAUUUCUCCGACUGAAUAGCUCACCCCCGAGUGAGAUCACGGAAGGAACAAUCUAAUGCGUACCCAUAGAAGCCAGCAUGGUGGAACAGUUAGGAACUGAGGUUCUGGAGUCAGAUUGCUGUACUCAGGUUCUGCUGUUUGCUAAAGAACUUUGCUGUUCAUUAUGAGAACUUGAACUUCUCUGUUUCUCUACUUACCUACUUCUAGAGAGUGUGAUGCCAAAAUUGAUUGGUGGUAUAAUGUUAGGCCUAAGGGUAUAGGAUUAAGGGUGUGAGCGCUAUCUGUUUUAAAUAGUCUAGCUAAGACAAACGGGGCAGAAAGAUACUGUUUUUGGUUUUUUUUGUUGCUUUUGCUACCUUGCAGGCACCAUGAUCUGUACUCUGCCACGCCCCUCUGCCAAGCCACCUUGCCCUGGAGCCAGCCAAUUAUGGACAGAAAUCUCUACCAACUGUGCCCUAAAUAAACCUUUGC
rnacentral:lncRNA from 1 species